GCGAACGGGUGAGUAACACGUGGGCAACCUGCCCAAAAGAGGGGGAUAACACUUGGAAACAGGUGCUAAUACCGCAUAACCAUAGUUACCGCAUGGUAACUAUGUAAAAGGUGGCUAUGCUACCGCUUUUGGAUGGGCCCGCGACGCAUUAGCUAGUUGGUGGGGUAAAGGCUUACCAAGGCAAUGAUGCGUAGCCGAACUGAGAGGUUGAUCGGCCACAUUGGGACUGAGACACGGCCCAAACUCCUACGGGAGGCAGCAGUAGGGAAUCUUCCACAAUGGGCGAAAGCCUGAUGGAGCAACGCCGCGUGGGUGAAGAAGGUCUUCGGAUCGUAAAACCCUGUUGUUAGAGAAGAAAGUGCGUGAGAGUAACUGUUCACGUUUCGACGGUAUCUAACCAGAAAGCCACGGCUAACUACGUGCCAGCAGCCGCGGUAAUACGUAGGUGGCAAGCGUUAUCCGGAUUUAUUGGGCGUAAAGAGAACGCAGGCGGUCUUUUAAGUCUGAUGUGAAAGCCUUCGGCUUAACCGGAGUAGUGCAUUGGAAACUGGGAGACUUGAGUGCAGAAGAGGAGAGUGGAACUCCA
rnacentral:rRNA from 1 species